rnacentral:lncRNA from 1 species
AGACAUUUGCCCAUCAAUGCUAACAUAUUAAGUGUUUAUAUUCACAUUUAUUCUCCUGAUGACCUGCAGUAGAGGGGACAAGCAUUAUCCCCAUGAUACAAACAUGGAAACUGAGUUCCUCAGGGGAUAUGUGGCUUAUGUAAGUGAACGUAGAGGAGACUAGUAGAAAAGUUAGUUUAGAAAAAAGUCAUAGGAUUAAAUAUUCUAUUUCCUUUUAUCAGAAGAUCCUAUGGUAAUUACUUAAGUCAAACUGUGAUUACUGACAUUUUACUAGUUUUACUAUAGCUUCUAACUUUUUCAGAGAAGGAGUGGAUUAAGUUUUGAACCAGAUGAUUUGGGGUCAAAUUGUCAAAUUUCAGGUUACCAGUGAGUGUGCUUUAUAUUAGCACAACUUUUUAAAUUAUAGCUUCUAAACAUUUAUGUCUUCUGACUGGAAAUGGGAAAAGAUUUGGGGGAAGUACUAUUUGUUCUAUGGAAGAAUAAUGACACUUUGCACAGGAGAGGUUUGCUGAAACCAGGUAAUCCCUCCAGGCAGCUUAGCUCAUUGUCUUCCAGAAAGCUAAAAAAUUAUGGGCUCAUUGGGUAAGGUUUCUUGGCCUAGAGAGAAUAGAGGUUGUAUUUGUGAGGAGCUUAUUCUUUCAUGGAUUGCUGUUCUCUAAAACCUCCUGGGCAGAGAGAGUUCCCAUCACUUUUGAUGUUGUCAUCACUGUGAACAUAGAAAGUAGACCAGGUAGAGUUAUUUCUAUUUUUAUCAAUUAAAAAGCUGGCUUUCUGGCCGGGCGCGGUGGCUCACGCCUGUAAUCCCAGCACUUUGGGAGGCCGAGGCGGGCGGAUCACGAGGUCAGGAGAUCGAGACCAUCCCGGCUAAAACGGUGAAACCCCGUCUCUACUAAAAAUACAAAACAUUAGCCGGGCGUAGUGGCGGGCGCCUGUAGUCCCAGCUACUUGGGAGGCUGAGGCAGGAGAAUGGCGUGAACCCGGGAGGCGGAGCUUGCAGUGAGCCGAGAUCCCGCCACUGCACUCCAGCCUGGGCGACAGAGGGAGACUCCGUCUCAAAAAAAAAAAAAAAAAAAAAAAAAAAAAAAAAAAAAAAGCUGGCUGUCUGAGAGACUCCAUAACUUGGCUAAAGUUAAGGCAGAUGGUAGGCAGGAUAAGAGUUCAGUCUCCUCCAUCUUUUUGCUGACUUCUACUCUACCACAUGCCUGAAGUAGCCACCUUCACACAUUCUUCAGAACAGAAAGCAUUGACUAUACCAAGAAUGAAAUUUUCCUGAUAAUUUUAGUAACUGUUCUCUUGAUAUAAUGUACAAAUUAUAUUAUUUAAAUGACUAAUUCACAGAUUAAAAUUUUUUAAUGUAAUAUAUGGCUUUUACCUUUAAAAGUUGUAAAAUCCUGGGAGCAUUUGAAACUUGAACACAAACCCAAGGCUACUCUCGUGUACCAAAAAUAUGGAACUAGACAGAGACCUCCUGGCCUUGAACAUGUCUUGCUUUCAUGACAUCUUGGUUAUUAUUUAUUUCUGCACCUACCUUUAGCUAAGGGACUAGAGAAGAGUGUCAUCUGCUAGGGCAAGCUUUUGAGCUCUCUGGCUCAGUUCUCACAGUGGCUCAGUCUCCUAUGAGUUUCAGAGUCUUCAAGGUGGUUCCUCUACCUGCCCCACAGCAUCUGAAGCACUUACUGUGAUUAUAAUAAAAUAACUGAGGAUUUGUUUAAUCUUUGUCUCUGUCACCAGACUAUAAAUUCCAUGAGGUAGAGAUAGCACCUGUUUGAGGACAUCAUGGGUUUUGUUUAUUUUGUUGCUUCUCCAGGGCCAUUUACCACAUAACAGCCACUAAA